GACGAACGCUGGCGGCGUGCUUAACACAUGCAAGUCGAACGGAAAGGCCCUGCUUUUGUGGGGUGCUCGAGUGGCGAACGGGUGAGUAACACGUGAGUAACCUGCCCUUGACUUUGGGAUAACUUCAGGAAACUGGGGCUAAUACCGGAUAGGAGCUCCUGCUGCAUGGGGGGGGUUGGAAAGUUUCGGCGGUUGGGGAUGGUCUCGCGGCUUAUCAGCUUGUUGGGGGGGUAGUGGCUUACCAAGGCUUUGACGGGUAGCCGGCCUGAGAGGGUGACCGGCCACCUUGGGCCUGCGAUACGGCCCAGUCUCCUACGGGAGGCAGCGGUGGGGAAUAUUGCACAAUGGGCGGAAGCCUGAUGCAGCAACGCCGCGUGCGGGAUGACGGCCUUCGGGUUGUAAACCGCUUUCGCCUGUGACGAAGCGUGAGUGACGGUAAUGGGUAAAGAAGCACCGGCUAACUACGUG
rnacentral:rRNA from 1 species